AAUUAGAUUGAUUCUGUCUAAUUUUGGAUUGGCUUUAUUGAUUUAUUAUUACAUGCAUAUUUUUGUUGUGUUUUUGAUUAUUAGGCUAAAUGCUUGUAUUUAUAUUUAAUUCGCAGUUUUUAAUUUUAUUUUUUAACUUUUAGUUAGAAUUAGAUAAUUAAUUUUGGGAUUGUUUAUUAUUGUGCCAGCAAACGCGGUUAUACAAUUAAUUCUAGUCAAUUAUUAUUCUGUUUGUAUUAUUUAUUUAUGUUGCGGAUAAUUUGUAUUAUUAUUAAGUGAAAUUUUAAUAUAUUAUGUUCUGUUGGUUUAAUAUUUAUAUGAAAGUCAUUAUUUAAACUAGGAUUAGAUACCCUAUUAUUUUGUACAGUAAUUUUUAGAUAUAGUAUUAAUAGUUAUGAUCUUUAAAUUAAAAGAAUUUGGCGGUAAUUUAAUCUUUUCAGAGGAACCUGUUCUGUAAUCGAUAAUCCACGUUGAAUUUUACUUUAAUUAUGGUUUAUAUAUCUCUGUCAUUGAAUGUUUUAUAAGAAUAAUUUUCCUAUAGUAUUUAUUUAAUUAAUGUCAGGUCAAGGUGUAACUAUAUUGAAGGUUGAAAUGGGUUACAUUUAAUGUUUAUUUAUUGGAUUUGUAUUUUAAUUGUAAUUUUUUAAUUAAAUAGGAUUUGAAAGUAAAGGUUAAUUUAUAUAUUUUCCUUGAUUUAAUUUUUGGCUCUAAAUUAUGCACACAUCGCCCGUCACUCUCGUUAUUUAUUAAAUGAGAUAAGUCGUAACAAAGUAAUUCUACUGGAAGGUGGGAUUUGAAAUAU
rnacentral:ncRNA from 1 species